UAGUACGAGAGGACCGGGAUGGACGAACCUCUGGUGCACCAGUUGUCCUGCCAAGGGCACAGCUGGGUAGCUACGUUUGGACGGGAUAAACGCUGAAGGCAUCUAAGCGUGAAGCCCCCCCUAAGAUAAGAUCUCUCAUCCUAAAUGGAGUAAGGCUCGACGUAGACUAUGUCGUUGAUAGGCCGGAGAUGUAAGCGCAGCAAUGCGUUGAGUUGACCGGUACUAAUAAGCCGAGGGCUUGACCUU
rnacentral:rRNA from 1 species